rnacentral:rRNA from 1 species
UGAGGAAUAUUGGUCAAUGGGCGAGAGCCUGAACCAGCCAAGUAGCGUGCAGGAUGACGGCCCUAUGGGUUGUAAACUGCUUUUAUGUGGGGAUAAAGUGCGUGACGUGUCAUGCAUUGCAGGUACCACAUGAAUAAGGACCGGCUAAUUCCGUGCCAGCAGCCGCGGUAAUACGGAAGGUCCGGGCGUUAUCCGGAUUUAUUGGGUUUAAAGGGAGCGUAGGCUGUCUAUUAAGCGUGUUGUGAAAUUUACCGGCUCAACCGGUGGCUUGCAGCGCGAACUGGUCGAGUUGAGUAUGCAGGAAGUAGGCGGAAUUCAUGGUGUAGCGGUGAAAUGCUUAGAUAUCAUGACGAACUCCGAUUGCGCAGGCAGCUUACUGUAGCAUAACUGACGCUGAUGGUCGAAAGUGCGAGUAUCAAACAGG